AGCAAGCUUUGGUUCAACUCUUUGAGUAUAGGCCCUGCCUUUGGAAUUCACCACUAACCAUUGUCGAUCCCAUCGAAAUCCAGUAGAAGUGAUAGGUGCUUGAGAAACAGAAAUUCCACGGCAUGAUUUAAUUGGAUAUACAAAGAUUGAUUUAACCUGAGCUGCUGCUGGCGCUCCUAUUACUUCUGCCAUCAAGUGUGUGAUUUGAUGCUUCUCAAUCCAAAUAUGGUUCCCAUUAUAAAAAUUUUUUAGA
rnacentral:misc_RNA from 1 species